ACAAGAAAUACUGGUUUGGGAAUGUAUGCCCACUGGGGUGGGCUCCCAUUUACCCUUCUCUCUGCAGUGAGCAGCUGUGAGGGUUGGGGGAAUCUCCCUCCUACAGCUCCUGAGGCCAGGACCAGAUCCGCUUAAGACGAUCUCUGUGUCAUGAAGACUGCGUCAGUGGGGUCCAAUCAAAGUGAAGUAAGGAAUUUGGUUUAGGAGUUGAGGGAAGCGAAGAUUGGGGUUUUGCUUCGGAAGAGUGGGAAUGCACACAUGAGGGCUGGAAAUUGCAGUUUUUGUCACCACAAGACAAGCCAGCCUGAGGACAAAGCUAACACCACAGAGAACCACGGACCAGAAGAAAUGGUUCCACCUCAAAAAAGGGCAACGAGCCAGAGGAGCCGCAGGACUCAGCAAAGCCAGACGUGCAGGUGCCUGGGAACUCAACAGCCCUCCCAUCAAAGGAUCACACAAGUCCAGUAUCUCCAUACAGUACAAAAGAGACAUCCAUUGGCUGCAGAAAUUCCACACUGAAGGAGAGGCCCCCAGGGAUGGGAUCUGGCCGACAGGAAUGAGCCAGGUGGUGGGAGCAGGUGCCUUGAAAUGGGUCAUGGCUUCAUCAAAGGUGAAGGAAUGAGGGUCUCCAGCGGCCACACAGGUGCCUGGGGGCUCUGGCAGCAAGCCCUGAAGACCACAGCCCCCACCCUGACCCGAGCAGAGCAGCAAGCUGGGCUGCAGUGAAAGUGCCCUGGGCUGUCAAAGCUGCAGUCAUGGUCACAUCGUUCAGCCAGACCAGGCCUCCCAGCUAGGGAGAGCGGCCAGGUGUGUACUUUACCUUGAACAGAGAUUUCCUGCUGCUCAACUUACUGCAUUUUGUCUCUGCACUCUUUCAAGCCUCUUGGGUGAUUAUUAAGAAACCCCUUUUCUCAGUGGUAAGCAUCUUUGUUACUUUGCUAUUUCAUUCAAUUUUCUAGACUUAAUUUAAGCACAAGUCUUCACUCUGUCUAUCCUACUUCAGACAAGUAAGGAAGGGCUACUAAGAACUCUGACUUGGGUUUUCAAGUUCUCGUCGCCUGGGUAACCUGGACAGGACUGCAGCUGUAUGAUCAUGCUUUUUAG